AUUGAACGCUGGCGGCAGGCCUAACACAUGCAAGUCGAGCGGAUGAAGGGAGCUUGCUCCUGGAUUCAGCGGCGGACGGGUGAGUAAUGCCUAGGAAUCUGCCUGGUAGUGGGGGAUAACGUCCGGAAACGGGCGCUAAUACCGCAUACGCCCUGAGGGAGAAAGCGGGGGAUCUUCGGACCUCACGCUAUCAGAUGAGCCUAGGUCGGAUUAGCUAGUUGGUGGGGUAAAGGCCUACCAAGGCGACGAUCCGUAACUGGUCUGAGAGGAUGAUCAGUCACACUGGAACUGAGACACGGUCCAGACUCCUACGGGAGGCAGCAGUGGGGAAUAUUGGACAAAGGGCGAAAGCCUGAUCCAGCCAUGCCGCGUGUGUGAAGAAGGUCUUCGGAUUGUAAAGCACUUUAAGUUGGGAGGAAGGGCAGUAAGUUAAUACCUUGCUGUUUUGACGUUACCAGCAGAAUAAGCACCGGCUAACUUCGUG
rnacentral:rRNA from 1 species